CCCCCCUCUCUCUCUCUGAAAGGAAAAAAAAUAAAAUUCAAAGCUAAGCGAGAGAAUUCAUCAGUUUUUGAAAAAAGAUUUAAGAGAAAAAAUCGAUUUUGAUUCGAUCAGUCACCAUCAGAUCCCACCUCCACCAGCGAUUGCCAUGUCCUCAACAACCACUGCUCAAUCCCUUCCUCUCCUCGCCUUUAUUUCCCUCCUUCUCCUCUCUCCUGCUCUCACCUUCGACGCAGAUCACAGGGAUUUAAAUGUUAGGUUGAUUGGUGUUCAUGGAUCGAGUUUUGAUUUUGCAAAUGGCAGUUGAUGCAUUACAAAUGCCGGGUCUCGUCUGGGUUUGCCCGGGUCGCCCGGGUCAUGGGUUGACCCGCCGGGUCGACCGGGUCUUGCCGGUUUUUUACACUUACCGGUCUUUUUCCUAACCCGGACCGGUCCAGCCACCGGGUCGACCGGUUCCCGGGUCGACCCGCCGGGCCGGUCCGGGUUUAAUAACUAUGGUUAAAAGUAUGCUAGAAAGAAAAUGUCAUUUUUUUCGCCUUGGUUCCUGGAAGAUGCUGCCAGCUGCAAUCAAUCAAAGAGGGAGGGACCCCCUGUUUUGAAUUUGAAACCGUAUCUCAUCAUUUCAAAACACACUACAUUUCAUCUUAAAUAAUUAUAAAUAAUAAAUACUUUAAAAAACAAUCUUAUCUAUUCUCAAAUAACCAAUUUCACACCACUCUUCUCUCUAGCCCAUGCUCAAUAUUUUUUCUUUAUUUUCAGACAUCAAUAUUCAUUAAUAGUUUUUUUAAAAUUUAACCAGACAUCCAUAUUCAUUAAUAGUUUUUUUUCAUUAUUAUUUAGCCAUGAGUUUGUAUUUUUCCAUUAAUAGUUUUUUUUUAAUUGGACAUUUAGUAUUUUUCCAUUCUUGGGUCAUUUUUUAUUUGUAAUCUAUAUUAAUUAUUAUUAGAUGCUGAUAAUUGAAUGUUUAGUGAUUUGUGAUAGCCUAAUUACGAGUAGUUGCAUGAGGCUGUAAAGUAUAAAUUCCACAUGAGUGGAGAAAAAUGGUGAAAAUCACUAAAGUUAAUAAUUCAAAAACAAUACCAUUUACCUGAUCAAAAUGAGAUUAGUAUUUAUGAGAUUAUUAAUUAAGAGGUGGUUGUGGGUCAAACUAAAUUCAAACAACUUUUAUAAUUUUGAUGAGAAAUCAAAUGAGAUUGGGUGGGAAAUGCAUGUUAGGCCUUUGCAAGAUGUUCUGUGGGUAAAAAUCUAGUGAUAAAUUUUUAAAAAAAUGUAAAUAAAAA